rnacentral:lncRNA from 1 species
CGACCUUACUUGAACAGGAUCUGUUCUAUAGGUUCGUACCUCUGUAUCCUUAAGUUCUAAGGAGACAGGAACUGAAAUCUGGUGGAUGAUCUAUGACUCUGUGAUCAGAGCGUGAUUAACGGCUAGAUGAACUUCUCCUCGGAUUAGUGAAAUCUCCAGCUGUAGAGGAUCGUUCCUGGUCAGCAGUGGCUUAGGAUGGUCACAGAGUUGUCUGACAGAUUCUCUAAAGUAAUUUUAAUUUUUUGGAAAAUUCAGAUUCUCUUAAAAUAUUACUCUUGUUUUUGUAUGUUAUUAAAAACACAUUGCAAAAAUAUGAGAUCUACAUAAAUUAUUUAUGUAUUUCAUUGUAAAAUUAGAUAAAAAAAAAUAUUAAUAAAGUUUACUUGUGCUAAGUUUUUAAAAAGAGGUACAUUAAGUUUAGAAAGAAUUGACACAAAAAAUAUUAAACUAAAUAAUAUUAAGAAUAAAGAAAAAAUAUAAAUUAAAAUAUAUAAUAAAAAUAUAAUGUAUUAUGAUCUAAAUUAAAAAAAGAAAUCACUUGUCUUUAUCUAAAUUUGGUCAGUUAUCCUAAAACCUAAUUUAAUAUUAAAUUGAAAAAAUACAAUGGAAAAUGCUUUGUAGUGAUUAUGUCAGACGAAUGAAGCAAUGCUAAAAACUGAUGGAGGAGACUUCCAUUGAUUUUGACAGACGAUUUGAUUACGGAUAAAAUAUAUUUUAAUACACGUUUUAAACUCAUUGUUUUGUUAUUAAUAUGUGAUUCAACAUGGUGUUCUUUAUUUAGUAAUUCUUUUAAAAUAAUUAUUAUUUAAUUAACCUUUGAAAUAACUUUUUUAAAAUAAACAAGUAUUUCUUUAGAUUUUAUCAGCACCAGACUGUAUUAAUAAGGGGCCAUGAUUUUGUUUUUAGUAGUUUUUUUAAUAGAAUUAUUUAUUAAGUCGUGUUAUGCAAAUUGAUAAAGAAUAUUAAAAAACUUUACUCAUUAUAUAUCUUAGUUCAUCAUUUUUUAGUAUUAACAGUGUUUUUUAAGACUCUUUUUUAAUAAAUUGUUACGAAAAUGAUGUACUUUCUGUCAUUUAUUUUGGCUAGAUUAGAAGCGAAGUCAGCGUAGGAAUAGAUGAUUACUAAAAUGAGAUAUUGAUUACCACAAAGUAAAAAAAGAAAAAAAAAAAAAAAAAGUAAAAAAUCAAGAGCCGAUAAAAUCACCGGUGUGUGCUGGUAACCUUCGAACACAACACAUGGAAGUGACUCUGACGAGCUUGCUUCAUCACCGCUGUGCAUGAUCACUAAGUGGAAGGUGUUCCAUCUUCCAUUUUCGCAGACAAAUUAAGAAAAAUUAUAUUUUUUCACCUUUUCUUUGGCGUCUGAAACUGUUUUCCUUUCAUGGGUGAAUCCACCAUUCCUCAUUUUCAGCAUCUAAUGGCGAAAAAAUUGCUCUUUUUGUUGACCCUUUUGGAAAUACUCCUCUGUGGGCAAUCCAAGUUUAUGGUGUACAAUACAUCACAGGGUAUAGUCCCUGACAAGCUCAAUGUUCAUCUGGUAGCUCAUACUCAUGACGAUGUUGGUUGGUUGAAGACCGUUGAUCAGUACUAUGUUGGUUCUAACAAUUCAAUUCAGGUGUUUAUUUAAUUCUCUUUCUUUGGCUAAACUUGUGAACAAUGGUGUCUGAAGAUUGCAAGUUGAGGGUCUUGUUUGCUAUGUUGCAAUGUGCAGGGCGCUUGUGUGCAGAAUGUGUUGGACUCUAUGGUGCACGCGCUGUUGGCUGACAAGAACAGAAAGUUUAUCUAUGUUGAGAUGGUAAGUUGGCUUCUUUUGAGUCCCUUAUAUGUUGUUUUCUUGAGUUUCUUUGUUGGAUCAAAGUGCUACUGCUCGUGACAAGAGGAAAUUUUGAAGUUGCUUUUUUGGGCUAAAAGUAGUGCUGUGAUGUUCCAAGACACAAUCCGGCAAAGCAUUUCAUUUCCUUUAUGUAGUUCAUGCCUUCCUCUGCAACUUUUUGUACCAAAUUCAUGAUUUAUAUUUCACAUCCUUCUUGUGGCAACAGAUUAAUGUUGCUCCUACAACAAGUUUGAAUUACCUAGACUGUUAAUGCUCGUGACAUUGACAAAUAGGAAUACUAAGAAAAUGAGGAAAACUAUGUUUUUGAAAAUAUGGACUACUUUUAAGGCUUUCUUUAAAUGCUAGUGUGAAAUAUUCUCUCUUGGGAUCAACUCGGUGCGGCUGUGUGAUAGGAUUAACUAGCUAAUGAAAUUGAUGGAUAGGAAUAUCGAGAAAAUUUGACGAUUUGUCUAACACCAAGGCGUCAACUCCAUAUAUAUUUAAAUUCCUUCUACAUUUCCUGUUUUUGUUCCUACCCUGUCAAUGUUUAUAUGCUUGAACGUAGCAUGCAACUAUAUGUUCAUUUUACGUGUUGGCUGUUUCUUCUUAAUUCUUUCACUUUCGUCAAUGCAGGCAUUUUUCAAGAGAUGGUGGAGAGAUCAAAGUGAAGCUGUUCAGGAUGUUGUUAAGAAACUUGUUAGUUCGGGUCAACUAGAGUUCAUGUAAGUACCUUUCUGACUACAGAUUUCAAUGCAAUUAACAACAAAGUCAUUCUUCAAUUGUGAAAUGAAAGCCAUCCUUCACUGUGAAAACAAACUGAUUAAGAAUUCCUUUGUGAGGGUUCCAAUAUCUAUGGGCAAUUAUCUCUCCAUUAUGGUAUUCUUCAAUCGUCUUUUAUUUAGGGAAUGAUGCUAUUUCUUUCCUUUAUUUUCUCCUUGUUACAGAAAUGGCGCCAUGUCUAUGCAUGAUGAAGCAGUUACACAUUACAUAGACAUGAUUGAUCAGACUGCACUUGGUCAUCAAUUUCUGAAAGAGGAAUUUGGUGUGACUCCUAGAAUUGGUUGGCAAAUUGAUCCUUUUGGACACUCUGCUGUGCAGGCCUACCUGUUGGGAGCUGAAGUAUGGCAUAGAUCUUCAAACAAUGAAUCUUAUCAUGACUCUCAAAUUUAGAAAGAAUAUGUUUCUCUUGUAUUUCAAUAAUGAGGGCAAUGGACCUAUAAAUACACAAGCUUGGUAGUUAUUUUGGGAAAUAUAGAUAGCUAAUUCUAAGGAAACAAAUCCCUAUAACUAUGGGAUUGUUUUUAAAUACAUAAUCCUAGCAUUAAUACCAAGAUACACAUGCAAUAAAGAAUAAAAUUAUAGCAGGAAUGUUAUAAACACUUUCUAAAAUACAUAAUGAGCAAAGCAUGAUUUUGAUAAUGACUAAUGAAUAUAUUUUGAAGAAGAUAUAUGUCAAAAGCAUUAUUUGCUAUGUGGGUUAUCAAUUGGUUCUAAUUUGUAUGCAGGUUGGCUUUGACUCACUUUUCUUUGGUCGGAUAGACUACCAAGAUAGGGCUAACCGCAAAAAGGAGAAGAGUCUUGAGGUUAUCUGGCAGGGUAGUAAGAGCCUUGGCUCUUCAGCCCAGGUGAAUAUCAAGAAAUAUGUUUCUUUUCUCUUUAAAUAUUUUAUGGUUGUCUUUGUUAGAGAUCCUACAUUGACUAGGAAUAAUUUUGUGAGGUUGAAUUAGACAUAAGUUUACUUACCAAGAGUCUUUGUAUUUUUAUGAUUGGUUUCUCUUAAAUUAAAUGUUUCCUUUUAUUAUGUUGAGUAUCCUUUUUGUUCUUGCAGAUUUUUGCUGGAGCAUUCCCUGAAAAUUAUGAGCCACCUGCUGGAUUUUACUUUGAAGUUAAUGAUAACUCACCGAUAGUUCAAGUAAUAUUAUAAGAACUUGUUAAUUUUGUUAUCACAUAUAACUAUUUUAGUUCAUUGUUAUGCUAAACUUUGCUUACUUCUUCCUGAAGGAUAACAUGGAAUUGUUUGAUUACAAUGUCCAAGAACGAGUGAAUGACUUUGUUGCAGCUGCAUUAUCGCAAGUAAGUUCAGCAUGUUUAUCUUCAGAUUUCUUAAAAAUGUUAUUUGAAUUUUGAGAUGCAAGAAUAUCAUUAGAAAUUAAAAAUUGAAUUGAGUGAUUGAGAGGUGUUGGGUCUUUCGAGGAGAAUUCACCAAGGAGAUUCAAUGAGCCAAACUCGCGUAAGAUAUUAAUGUAAGUGUUAGAAGUCCCACAUCGACUAGAGAUAAAGUCAAUUUAAAGUAUAUAAAUGGGUGUAAACCUUAUUUUACAAAUUGGUUUUGUAGGACUGGGUUAAAGUCCACCACUUAACAUGUUGGCUCAAGUCAUCUCCCAAUGAAUUUGAUUUAUUAUUUCACUUAAAAUAGUACCAUCUUUUCUUUUCCAUCUUUAAGAACUCUUCUCCAAGCUUAUGAUCUUAGCUUCUCUUAACCACUGAAAAAAUCUCCAAUUCAGCCAUGCUUGCAUUGUCUAUAGGGCAUUAGAUGAUUCAGAAUUGUAUCAUCUAUAGAAAGAUGACUUAUGAGAUUGCUUUCAUUUCAACUACACAAAGCACACAUUAGAACAUUUAGGAAACAUCUAUCCAAUUAUAUAAUGUUAAAUGUAAUUAGCUGUUACAGAUUUGUAGGAAAUUAACAGUUACAUGUUUUAGGAAAUUAGGAUGAUUGAUUCCUGAUUAUUAAGAGUUAUAUAAUUGAUUUUAUAAAUUAGUAUAAAUACAUACUGUGUGGUCUGCAUUACACACACAAUAUAUUUAGUAAAUAUAUCAUUCUAUAUGGUACAUAGUUUAGGGUUUCAAUCUUUGAUCUCCAGUUUUCUAUUUUUUCGGGUGAACAAUACUCGCAGCCACUGUGUGUCACUUUUUCCGUCACCUAAUGUCCCUUCAUUUUGGUGACCACUGCAACCAGAACUGCCUUCCUCCGGUUUAAAGUACAUAUUAUCACAAUUGACCACCACACUUCAUUUGCUGCUUCUGUCCACUUCUGCACCCGCCCAUACGUGUGACCUCUUUCCAGAGCAUACAUUUCACACGCCCAUCUCAGAUUUUUUUUUUCUUUUUUUUUUCAUUUCGACACAUUAUCCAAUUAUAUAACAUUCAGGAAACAUCUAUCCAAUUAUAUAACAUCAUCAACACUCAUGUCAGACAUGAUUUAUCAAGUCAUCUAGGCAAAUUCUAUAGACUAGACUCUCUAAUUAAACUUAUCUAACUAGAUCAUAUAGUGCCUUUCCUCUACCUAGAACACCUAUCAUCUAACAUGGUUUAAAAAGAUGAUUUUAAUGCAUAAUUUGAUUUAAAGUUCAUAUUAUCACAAUUGAUCAAAUCCCAGUUAAAACAAUGGAUUUUUAAACUCAAUUAUAGCUCAAGAUAGCUAUAAUUAAGUAUUCUAAAAGCAGGAAAACAAAUCUUUAGUGAUGUAAAAAAUCAUUACUGUCAUGGGGACAAUGACCAGGCUUACUAUCCAUGACAAAAUACUUACGAACACAAAACUCAGACACAUUAGAUUUUGUAGUAUAAUUGCAUAAAUUACCAAUCAGAAUAAAUUUUUUUAUUUUUAUGUCUUGAUUAAGGCAUAUGUUUACUAUCUAGCUGAAUAAGAUUUCUCCUAUACAAAUCGAAUCAACAACCAAAAAAUUGAAUGACUAGCCUUACCAACUUGUUCCAAUUUCCAUAAUUGGUUUUUGUUGUGGAAUAACUCAAAACAAUUUCGCUGCAUAAGCGUCUACCAUACAAUAACAUGAUAUUAGAUAAACUGCAAAAUAAACAAUUAGAAGGUAAAAAAAGGAAGAAUAAGGAAAAAUCACAAUAGAAAAUAAGGUGGUUAAAUUGAAGUGCUAAAAAUUACAGCUUGAAGUUUCUCUCUAAGUGAAGUUGAACAACAACUUUCAAUUGAAAAAAUUGUUGAUAUAUCUUCCUAUUUAUGCAGCAUAACUACCUUAAUAACUUCCAUAAAUCACACCUAAACAAGCCAAGAAAAAUAUGUGAACAUUGCUUUCACUACUGAGUUUGAAACGUCACUUAUGUAGACUCUUUAGAUGAUACGAGUCAAAGAGGAAGUUAAAGUCCGGAUGCAAGUAGACAAUCUGAUGUCAUCAAAUGCUUUUAUAAAAGACAAAAGCACUGAUGAAGAUGUCCUGAUGAAGUCAGACUCACUUGAACCAUUAGAUGAUCUGGAAGAGUUAGACGAACUAGGAACCUUAAAAGGGUUUUACCGAGUCAGUCCUCAAAGUUUUCAAAAGGAAUAAAUUAAACUGUAAACAAGAACUCAACCAUGACCUUAAAUUUAAAGCAAAUGGAAAAAACAGAAAAAGAUA